rnacentral:lncRNA from 1 species
UCCAUGCACCUCAAGCUUUGCUCUUUGCGUUAACCACUUGUGCACAUGCCAAGUCACAGAGGAGUCUGUCUCUGCCAUGCAAAACCAAUAUGACCAAUGUUCCUGUACGAAUGAAUGUGCAGGAACCAUAUGUUCUAAGGAAACUAUCUCAUGUGUUGAUGGGCAAUGCAAAUGCGGAGACAGGCAUGUCCUGAAAAAUCAAAAGAACCAAUGUUCCAGUAGGAAUGACUGUGCAGGAAUUGGGUGUCCUUCGGGAACUAUUGAAUGUGUUGAUGGGAAAUGCAAAUGCGUAAACUCGCGUGCCCUGCAAGAUCAAAAUAGCCAAUGUUCCAGUAAGAAUGACUGCACAGGAAUUAUAUGUCAUUCAGGAACUGUCGAAUGUGUUGGUGGGCAAUGCAAAUGCGUAACCGUGAGUGAUCCGCCAGGUCAAAAUAGGCAAUGUUCCAGAAGGAAGGACUGCAUAGGAAUUAAAUGUCCUUCGGGAACGAUCGAAUGUGUUUAUGGACAAUGCAAAUGCAUAAGCUUGCAUGCCCUACAAGAUCAAAAUAGCCAAUGUUCCAAUAGGAACGACUGCAUAGGAAUUAAGUGUCCUGGAAAUAUCGAAUGUGUUGAUGGGCAAUGCAAAUGCGUAAACUCGCGUGGCCUGCAAGAUCAAAAUAGCCAAUGUUCCAGUAGGAACGAUUGCACAGAAAUUUCAUGUACUUUCGGAAAUAUCGAAUGUGUUGAUGGGCAAUGCAAAUGCGUCUCGCGUGGCCUGCAAGAUCAAAAUAGCCAAUGUUCCAGUAGGAACGACUGCACAGAAAUUUCAUGUACUUUCGGAACUAUCGAAUGUGUGAAUGGACAAUGCAAAUGCGUAAACUCGCGUUGAUGAAGCCAUGCAUAGUCUUAGCUCUAUUUGUUAUAAGUACUUUAUUGAUCUCCUAGCUAAAAAGCUAAUAAAGCUAGGUGCAAUUUCAAAUUAGUACGGUAGUUUGAUAAGUGGCUGUAAUCUUUCUUUGAGGAAUAAAAGCCAUCGUUCUUUCUUUCUUUCAUGCCCUAAUUUCAAGCAAUGGUUGGCUCACUGUGUAUCUUAAAAGCUGACAAGAUUUAUAAGAAUUAAGUGGUGUACAUUUGAGAAUCAGCUUCCGGAAAUAACAGAGAAUUAAAAAUCAUCAUAAAGGGGAAAAACAGAGCAUCCUGUCAAAUGCAAUGCGUAAUAACAGAGCAAGUGUGCCUGAAAUUCAACUCUUAUUUUAAGUUCAACAUCUUCUAGGCCAAAGGAAAUGGAGGACUGCCCCAAACAUCUGUUUUUUAUAGCCAAACAAACUUGAGAUGAAUGAGCUCUGGAAAGAAAUGGUUCCUUUGGCUCAAGCAUUCAUGAGAACCUUUUAGCUGCUGCAGCCAUCUGCAUCAAGUAGGAAUGCAAACUUAGGCAAAAUAAUUAGCGAACAAUUUGCUCUCGGUUUGCAAAAACAUAUGCAAGAAAAUAGUCUUAAGCUUCUAGCUGCGUAAGAGAAUUGACUGUGCAUUUUCAUGUAUGAAGAUAAACUUAAUAAAAAAGAAAUGACAGAGGAUUUAGCUAGCUUGGAUAUAAUUGCUGUUGAAGUACUCAAAAAGUAUGAUGACUUACAUUUUGAAGUGAGCUCGAUCCGAAUUCUGAUCUGUAAUUCAGCUCCAAUGGUAUUUAUGUGACAUGACCCUCCUCUUUCAUCCGGGCUUGGGACCGGCUGUGUAAAAGAUCGGACUUGAGGCACAAUACAGGCAGAGUUAUCAUGUCACAACCGCUAUGACCAAUUGUAAGGGUCAAAGUGGUUGCUUAGCGUGUAUAAAGUAAACUGGAGAGAUUGUACUCAAUCCUGUCACAGUUGAGUCACCAUGACAGAAAUAUCAGAGGUGCCAUUAAAUUGUGUACAUAAGCCGCAAGCCUCCACAAAAUCACCAUUGUGGAGGUUUUGCAGCUUAUAAAAUCAUCUAAAUAAUGCUGUAAUGGAGGCUAGCAUGGAAAAUGCACAAGCUAGCCAAUUGAUCCAUGUGAAGUACUUCCCUGAGAGGAACAGACUGGUCAUCACAAAGAACCCCAUUGCAGUUAAAAAGGAUCCAAUUAUUGUUGAAUGUUUGGAUUUCAGAGGGAGCAAAGAAGGUACUGAGAGAGAGAGAGAGUGAGAGCUGAGAAGCAAAGAUUGUAAUAACAAAAAUGCUUACUCUGCAUAACCGUUGCAGCAGAGCCUAUAUUCCCUCAUGACAAUAGCAUGUUCUCUUACAUCAGCCAAUUCAAAAUCUAACCGUUUGUAAGAGUAAGCCAAUGUGAAUAUGACACAUGGCAAUACACAGCUUUUAGGACAGCUAGGAAAUAGAAACUGACUCAAGCAUUGCACCUGGCAUAUAAGCCAAGGUGCUCAGCUAACACAGGACUUAAAACAGAUUAAAUAUAAGCUGACUUAGAGCUUACUAACUAAUCAGAAAUUAGCUAGGCAGUUUACAUUUUAACACUCCCUUCUAAAGUGCUAGCUGAUUUCACUCCAAGCAUUCUCCUCAAAUAGUCGAACCUGUCUUUGGGAAGUGCUUUGGUGAAGAUAUCAGCAAUCUGCUCUUCUCCCUUGCAGUAGAGCAGUUCAAUCACUUCUUCUUGUAUUGCAUCUCUAAUAAAAUGAAACUUCCUUUUAAUGUGCUUGCUCUGUUGAUGAAAAACUGGAUUUUUAGCCAUUGCUAUGGCUGAAGUGUUGUCACAAAACACAGUAGUUGGAGUGGUCUGUUCUUCCCCAAAAUCUUCAAGAACAAACCUGAGCCAAAUGGCUUGUGAUGUAGCUUCUGCUGCACUCACAUACUCUGCCUCUGCAGUAGAAAGAGCCACACUGUGUUGUUUGACUGAUGCCCACGAAAAAAUACCACUUCCAAAUGAAAACGCAUAUCCAGAAGUGCUUUUCAUAUCUUCCUCAGAGCCACUCCAGUCAUUGUCACAGUAACCUACUAAGAGUGCAGACUUUCCAGUCACAUACUCAAUUCCAUAAUCAAUCGUACCUUGUAUGUACCUUAGAACCCUUUUAGCUGCCCCAUAGUGCAUCUUAGAAGGGUUGUGCAUGAAUCUUGCAAGCAGGCUGGUAGAGAACAUGAUAUCUGGCCUGGUUGCAGUGAGAUACAGCAGGCUACCUACAAUUUUUCUGAACAAGCUUUCAUCUGCAGCUUCACUUCCAUCCUCUCUUUUCAAUUUAUCAGUAGCCACUAAUGGAGUGCUUACUGACUUGCAGUCUUUGAGUCCAAACUUAUCCAAGAGAGUGAGAGCAUACUUCUUUUGGUGAAUGAAGAUGCUCCCUUUAGUUUGUGUUACUCCCAUACCAAGAAAAUGAUGGAGUAAACCCAAGUCAGACAUCUCAUACUUGCACAUCAUUUCAGCUUUGAAUUCUUUCACCAUUUCAUCACUACUUCCUGUAUACACUAUGUCAUCUACAUAGAUUGACACUAUUAGUGUUCCCACACUUUCCUUGGUUCUCACAUAGAGAGUUGCUUCACUUGGACUUUUGUGAAAACCACACUGAUUCAAGUAGGUGUCGAUUUCACUAUACUAGGCCCUUGGAGCCUGCUUCAACCCAUAGAGAGCUUUUCUUAACCUAUACACUUUAUCCUCAUCACUUUUAACCACAAAACCAUCCGGUUGAUCAACAUAAACUUCUUCUUCAAGGACACCAUUUAAGAAGGCUGAUUUGACAUCCAAUUGCCAUAGUUUCCAACCUUUCUGUGCAGCAAGAGCUAUGAGGGUUCUAAUGGUGUCUAACCUUGCCACUGGAGCAAAGGUUUCAUUGAAAUCAAUCCCUGGUUUUUGUGUGUAUCCCUUGGCAACAAGCCUUGCUUUAUGUUUUUGAAUGGAGCCAUCAAGAUUGAGCUUAGUUUUGAAUAUCCACUUCACUCCCACAAUUGGUUUACUACUUGGCCUAUCAAUUAAUUCCCAAGUAGAGUUUUUCUCUAUCAUAAGUAUCUCCUCAGUCAUAGCCUUCCUCCAAGCUUCAUCUUUGACUGCUUCUUCAAAAUUUUCAGGUUCAAUGAUGCUCAUCUUGCAUUGAGCAUACACAUCACUCAAACUCUUCCAUUUCUUUGGGGUGUUAUCAUAAGUUUCAAGUAGAGCUGAAUCUUGAGUAGCAUGCAAGUCACUACUUGUUUGUGUUUCCAUAGGAGACUGCACAAUCUGUUGCUAUAACAGAUUUGGUUCUGAAUCCAAAUCUGAUACUGUUGAACUUGCUUCGUCACUCCAAGACAUAGGAAUUUGCAAUGCCUCAUUUGUUUCCCAAUUCCACAUUGCUUCUUCAUAAAAAAUGACACUCCUAGACAGCUCAAUCUUUUGAGUUCUCAAGUUGAGUACUCUAUACCCUUUUUCACAUACUCCAUAUCCUACAAAUACUCCAUUCUCACCUGUUUCUUCCAGCUUGUGCCUUUUCUAUGUGGGGAUGUGAAUAUAGCAUAGAGAACCAAAUAUUCUCAAAUGCUUCACUCCUGGUUUUCUUCCACUAAACUUCUCAAAUGGAGUGGAAUUGUCCAGUGCACUUGUAGGGCUUCUAUUUUGUAGAUAUACAGCUGUAUUGACAGCUUCUGCCCAAAACUUCAAAGGAAUUUUCGUCUCAUGCAUCAUGGCUCUUGCCAUUUCCAUCACAGUACGAUUUUUUCUCUCUGCAACUCCAUUCUGUUGUGGAGAGUAGGCUACUGUCAGUUGCCUUUCUAAUCCCAUCUCUUCACAAAACUUUGAUAAAUCCAAAGAUGUAUAUUCUCCACCUCGAUCACUUCUUAGCUUCUUAAUUUGAUAACCACUUUGUAGCUCAACCAUGCUUUUGAACCUUUUGAAUAUGUUGAAUGCUUGAGACUUAUGCUGCAAAAAGAACACCCAACACAUUCUAGUGUGAUCAUCAAUGAAGGUGAGGAAAUAUCUAUUCCCUCCAAGAGUGAUGGUCUGCAUUGGACCACAUAUAUCUGAGUGAAUCAGUUCUAGAGGUUGAGAGGCUCUCCAAGCUCUUUCCUUAUCAAAUGAGCUUCUGUGAUUCUUGCUUAUAGCACAACCCGAGCAAACCUUCUCAUACUCUUGCAGAUUAGGCAGUCCCUGAACCAUAUCUUUCUCUUGUAACAGCUUCAAACUAACAUAGUUUAGGUGCCCAAAUCUUCUGUGCCACAGCCAGGAUGUUUCUCCAACUGUUGCUCUAUUUGCCAUAGGGGGAUUGACAUAAUCUAGAUUUAAAGGAAAACAUCUGUUUCCCUUCAUUGGCACUCUUGCAAUGCAAUCUUCCAGCUGCCUAUCUCCAUAGAUAUCAACUGCAUUAUCACCAAAUACAAGCCAAUGCCCAUGUUCUAUCAUUUGACCUACACUUAGCAAGUUUUCAUCCAAACCCGGUACAAUCAUGACUUCCUUGAUAUAUCUAGUCACACCCUUCAUUUCUAUAGCCAAAAUCCCUUUGCCUAUUGACUGCACUAGAUCACCAGUCCCCAUUUUGACUUUACACUUCACACUUCUAUCAACAUUUACAAGUAAGGACUCAUGGGAAGUCAUGUGAUUGCUACAUGCACUAUCAACAUACCACAUAUUCACAUUCUUUCCAAUUGUUGCAGCAUGACAUGCAUAGAACAUAAUGGCAGAUUCUGUUACCUGAUUUGCAAUGUUAGCAAGUUUCCCUGCCUUGUUUGCUUGGUCACAAUCCUUGACAAAAUGACCAAAUCGAUUGCAGCCAUGACACUUUGGUUUUCCUUUAAACCAACACUCACCAUAGUGUAGCUUCUCACAAUAUUUGCAUUUUCCAGAUUUGUCUCCUUGACUCGGUUUUCCCCCUUGAUUGGCAUUGUUUUGAGGUUUAGAAUCUCAUUUCUUAUCCUUGGACUUCCAGUUCUUCUUUGAUUUAUUAGUGCCAGGACUAGAACUUGACUGAGAUCCUUUUGAGUUUAUGCUCAUGCUGCUGAAAGCUUUCUCAGUGGUGCUUUCAGCAUGUCUGUCAAGACGCUGAGCAAAUCCUCUCAAUGCUACAAUUACCUCCUGCACUUCAAUGGUUUCAAUGUCCCUAGUUUGCUCAAUCACAUAGCAGACUGGAUCAAACUCCUUGGUUAAGCUUAUUAGCAGUUUCUGAACUAUCCUCCCUUUGGUCAGAUCUUCCCCAUAUCCCUUUAUCUGAUUUACAAGCUCAAGUAACCGAGUGAUGUACCCAAACAAGAUCUCAUCAUCCCUCAUCCUGGUGUACUCAAAAUCACGACGCAGACCCUGCAACUUGAUGGAUCUGACUUGCUUAUCACCAUGAAACUCCUGAUGCAAGAUAUCCCAAGCACCUUUUGAGGUUUCUUCAUUUGAGAUUCUGGGGAAAAUGUCAUCUGAAACAGCACCUUGGAUAAUACCAAGAGCCUUAGCAUCCUUCAUUAACAAAGACACCUUCUCUGACUCCGAUAACCCUUCUUCAUCAACCUUCUUCCCCUUUAAAUCUGGAUCUUGAAGCCCUUUCUCAACUAAAUCCCAGAUUCCAUGAGAUUUGAAAAUUGUUCUCAUUCGAAUCUUCCAAAACUCAGAGUUUUCCCCAUUGAAUAUUGGAGCUCUAAGAUCACUCCCUCCUGACCCAGCCAUCUGAGACCAGAAUCAAUGAGCUGAGAGUCGGAAAUUUCUCGUCGGAUUUCCAGACUCAGCUCACACAGUUUCAACGCCCACUAUCCAGAUCCAACCUGCGCUCUCGAUACCAUGUUGAAUGUUUGGAUUUCAGAGGGAGCAAAGAAGGUACUGAGAGAGAGAGUGAGAGCUGAGAAGCAAAGAUUGUAAUAACAAAAAUGCUUACUCUGCAUAACCGUUGUAGCAGAGCCUAUAUUCCCUCAUGACAAUAGCAUGUUCUCUUACAUCAGCCAAUUCAAAAUCUAACCGUUUGUAAGAGUAAGCCAAUGUGAAUAUGACACAUGGCAAUACACAGCUUUUAGGACAGCUCGGAAAUAGAAACUGACUCAAGCAUUGCACCUGGCAUAUAAGCCAAGGUGCUCAGCUAACACAGGACUUAAAACAGAUUAAAUAUAAGCUGACUUAGAGCUUACUAACUAAUCAGAAAUUAGCUAGGCAGUUUACAUUUUAACAAUUAUCUCAACAAUCUUUGCAGCCCUUGGACUGGCAUGCUGCAGAAAUAUCCCAGUAAAAGAAGCUGCAAAAGCAAUAACGAAGGAUGCGUUAGCGAUCUUCAGGGGAAGCAGAGGAGGCUGCUCCUGAGCUUGCCCUGAAGACGAUGAGUUUUGUGUAGCUAAGGUCAAAGCUGCCUGAAAACUAAGAUUAAGUAUUGUCUUCCCAAGACUCAAUGGAGCCUGUGGUGCUGGGCUAGUUUGCAUUUCCAUAUCAAUUGCACUUAUGUAAACAGGUAGGUCAUCUAAUGCUCUGGACCUCCUCUGUGAAACUGUAAGACACCUUACUCUUAUGAUGGAACACAAGUUAAGUGAAACAGCUGGUAUUAAACGAGAUAAAGCCAUACAAGCAUGGUGGAAAGCUAGCUUGAUUGCUGUGGGGAACGGAAUUGGUGGAUCAUUUGAAGGCUUUGGAUGUAAAUUAAAUUGCAUGACACAAAAAUAAACGUAAAGACUUGUUAAGUUCUCGGAGCUUCUCUCCAUUUUCAUUAUAUAAGAAGGUAAAGAGAAUUCUAGAGAAAUGGGUGAUUCUUCUCAUAGACGUUUCCAUAUGUCCUUGUUCCAAGUAAGUUCAUGGCUCCAUUUUAGUAUGAACUGAACAGAUAUUCUUUGCUUUGGUAGGGGUCAAAAAGCUCGAGACCUAUUGACUCCUUUUUCUUUUUGGUCAAUUUUCUUCCUUUUUAUUUUUUCCCAUUCUUUGCCCCAACCCCGCUGAUACAAUUCUUAUUCUUUGCUCAAGUAUUCCAAGAGUGUAAUGUUUUCUAAUGAAAUGGCUCUCUAACGAAUAAAAGGCAAAAUAUGCUCGCUCUUCAAAGCAAACCAGGGAAUAAAAUUUCAUUUAUAGAAAACAAUAUGGACAAAUUUCAACAUACAUAAAAAUUUCAUUCAAAGUUAAAUCAAGGCUGUGUAUCAGAAACCCUCCUCCUUUUUGUCCGGGCUUGGGACCGGCUGUGCAAAGUAAAAAUGACACAGGCGGAGUUAAAAUUUUUGGCUGAGCCAAAUUUUUUUUUUUUUUGGGUUUUGGACUUUUUGGUUUUUUUUUUGGGAUUUUUUCUUUUGUGGUAUCAAACGAUGACAUUUUACGAUACACUACUACUCAAUACUAAACUAUCUAGUAGUUAAGACUAAGGUGUGUUGAUGCUAAAAAAUGGUUCAACAUUUAUGGGCUCAACUUAUGAUGUUGUCACAUUCGACCUUGAAUGAGCUUCGGGAGAGCGAACAAUCUGAAAGACAAGGAACGGUUAGUAAGCCCUUUGACACCGAUGUGGUAUCGGCCGAAGGCUCUCUGAUACUUAAUUUAGAAUAAGUACGGAAUAAAUAGUAAUUUGGAUAGAAUAAUGGCAGGUUUGCUGAAUGCCAUAGGUGGUGUUAAAAAUUUUGGCUCAGCCUUUUUUUUUUUUUUGGGGUUUUGGACUUUCUGGUUUUUUUGGGAUUUUUUCUUUUGUGGCAGUUUACUAUACACUACUACACAAUACUAAACUAUCUAGACUUAAGGGUCAAGGCUAACGUAAAGGCUAGCAAGGAAAAAGCACACGCUAGCCAGCAAAUCCAUAUGAAGAUACUUGAGAGGAAAAUACUUGUCAUUAGGAAAAACCCGAGCGCAGCAGAAACAGACCCAAUUUUUUCAAUGAGGCUUGCAGCCCUUGGAUAGGCACGCGUUAGAAAAAUGGCAGAGAAACAAGCUGCAAAAGCAAUCACCAUAGCCACUCCAACCAUAUGCAAGGCCAGCAAAUGUGGCUGAUCCUGAUCCUGAUCAGGUUGGCCUGGAUUAGAUGCAAGAGUCAAGCCAACAAUGGCCUGGAAUGUGAGACCAAGGACUGUCUUCCCCAAGCUAAGUGGAGCAUUUGAUUGGUAACUUUGCACCUCAAUUUGACAACCAUGGAGAUAAAUUGGUAAGCAAUCCCCUGCUUGAUGACCAGACCAGCUCCACCAGCUUUCGAGCACCCUGUAACUCAUUAUUCUUGUGGAACAAGUCAGGGUUCUCACUGGUGGAGCAUCUGAACGAGGCCAGAAACAGGACAGUACAUUAUAGAAUGCAAGCUUGAUUGUUGUGACAAGGGAAAAUAAUGGUGGAGAGCUUGGAGAAGUCAUGGAAAUUAAUAAGGGAACACCAGCAUAUUGCAUAGACGUUUUAGUGUUCCCCUUCAAGUGGAUGUAAUGUUUUGUGUCUCUUUUCCUUUUAUAAUGAGGCAAAGAGAACACUAGAAACAUGGGGAGCCAUUAUUUUUCUCAGAAGUUUCAGAGUGAAGAGAAAUGGUGACUAUUGGGAAAAAAAAAAAAAAAGAAAAAAAAAAAGAGAAAUGGUGACUCAAUUGAUCCCACUAAUUAACAUACUGCAGGUCAUCAUGGCGUGUGAACAUUGCAUCUUCCUUUCCUUCGCUUACUUUUCUCACCAGUAUUCAUUAGGGUCACCGACCGACCGACAGACUAACUUUGUCUUGGCCAUUCACUUUUCACUUUUCUUGCUUAGCUAAACUGCUGACAUUAUGUUUGGAUCCCAUAAACAGUAUAGGGUCUAAGAUAUAGAAAAAGUCGACAAUAUCCAAAUCUUAGAAAAAAACACAUUUGACUUUUUAAAUACACUGGAUAUUAUACAUAUAAGCCUUGAAAACCUUAAAAAUUACAACAAUACCAUUAUUAUAUAAAUUUUUUUAAAAAAAAAUUAUAAAUGCAAGGAUAAUAGUGAUAUUUCACGUAUUAUUCAAAUUAAAAAAAUUUAUUGCAACCGACCCUUUUUUGGAUGUUUUUCUUCAAUUUAAAGAUUUUAGGAUUUAUAAAUUCAAAGCAAGAAAUAAGUUUUAUUAUAAAUUUGUCGAGUUGUAAUUACUUCCAUAUACAUUUCACAUCUAGAUCUAUUUUGGCCAAACCUAUAUGAGUAGUACUUAUCCAAUAUUUCCAUUCCGGAAUCUUUCGGUGGUGGGUCUAAAACCUCAUAGCUAGAUUGGUUGACCGACCUUUGGCCCAAAAUAAAGGGAUUGACUGACCGACCCCUUUGCCUUUCUUUAUUUUUUCCCAGCAAAAGAAGACCCCUUUGCCUUUUUCUUCUGAUAUAAUUUCUCCUACAUUUCCUUUCACCAAGUUCACAGCAGCUUCCUAGCCAUGCUCCUUCGGCUCAUGAACAUAUCAACAUCAAACAAAACUUCUCAAGUUACUUUCUAAUUUCCUGGAAGAUGCUGCCUUUUUUCCAUGACAUUGCUCAUACCCAAGUACUAUAAAAACAUAUGCAUGCACAAGUAAGUGUCUUUCAAAAUUACAUGUCCUUGAUCUUGCCCUGUCAAUGACAUGCGCAGAAGGAUAUGGCGGUGAAAGCACUCCUCGGCACUCUGCUGGUGGUAUUAUCAAGCCCACCACCGAUCCAGUUCACUACAAUACUAGAGUUCAUCUUGUGUGUGUGUUUGGCAACGACCACUCUUUUCAUCCAAGUUCCCCAUGAAUACAUAAACGAAGCAGCAAUUCUGACUAUACUAUUUAAGGGCCUUCCAUCCAUCUUUUGUGUUUUCGGCUUCUCCAUAAUCUUAGCUUUCUCCGGUGCAUUUACCGCGUUGAUGAUCAUCCGCAACAAGCCCGCCAUUGCAAGGAUCUUUGGACUCUGUUCCAUGGCUUCCAUGUCUUCAGCUAUGGCUCUGCUGAUGUGGGCCAUUUACAAUAAGCUGGCCGCAACCAUUUAAAAUAUUAAAUCUUGUUUCUUAGGAUGCAGAUUUACGACAAGGGAAUUGUUUAUGUAUUUUAAUACAAGGACAACAACAAGACAGUAUUGUUGUUUUGUAUGAUCUUUAUAAACUUGGUAUUUUGCCUGCCCAUGAGUUUAAUCCAAUUACUAGACUAGACCUACGUUCGGUUUUCCUUGACAAAAAUAAUACAGAAAAAUGAAAAGAGAAAAUAAAAAAACAGAGGAAGUUUUUUUUCUUAAAGAAAAUCUUUUCCCCAUAUGUUUGUCUUUGAAGAAGUUUUAUCUGGCAGAGAUAUCGAAAAUUAUAAGCAUUCAUGAUCAAUUAAAAUUUGGAAUUUCUGAAGACAUCAGUUUCUUUUCUUAAAAUUGUGUUGGAAUUUUAUAAAUAUAUUGUAUCUAAAGCAAUAAUUACUCCCAGCAAAUCUCAUAUGUUUUCCUUGUUAACGAUACCAGACAAGGAAAUUAGAGAUUAUGAUUCCCAAAUCCUGAAUCGUUAGUAAGUAUGAAGUUUAAUUUCCUCAUCACCAAACACAUAGUAAAAGAAAGCACCGCAGAAUUUGGAAAUUAAUAACUAAAGCUCCCUAAUUUUGGUAUUUACAGAAAUGAAACUCUUGUAAUUUUUGCAGGCGCACCAUUGUUAUCAAGGGUACCAGCAGGCGCUGAAGCAGCCAAGCCCGUCAAAAGAUGUAAUAGUAACGAUGACUGCAAGUUGUUUCCAUGCACCUCAAGCCUCAUUCUUUGCGUUAACCACACAUGCCAAGUCGCAGAUGUUAAUAUCAACGACUAUGCUGCGCCCUGCAGGAGCAGCACUGACUGCAGAGACACUGCAGAAGACUGACUGCAUAGACACUGCAAACCAGUAUAGCAACCCCUGCUACCCCACCGACGUGGGUGCCGCCGCCUCUGCCUACAACCAGAAACAGAAAAACAAAAAACAAAAUAAAACCAAAAUCCAUGUGGAUCUGGGCAACAAAAAGCCUCAUCACAAACCAAAACUCCAAUCCCUAGCAUAUGAGGAAAUGGAGAAGGAAAAGGAAAGGGAGAGGGGUUGAGAGGGAAGAGAGAGGAGGAAGAGGUGAGGGAAAAAUAAGCGAGAUGGGGGGUAGGAGAGGAUGGGCAGAGACCACGUCCCCCCUUGGUGCUGCUGAAGGGUGUGGGGGGCUACGUUUUUUUUUAAUUGUGAGCGCUAAUUCAAAGCAAGUGGAUUUUUUAGAGAA